rnacentral:rRNA from 1 species
GGAGUUAGCCGGUGCUUCUUCUGCGAGUAACGUCACAGAUGUAAGGUAUUAACUUACACCCUUUCCUCCUCGCUGAAAGUGCUUUACAACCCGAAGGCCUUCUUCACACACGCGGCAUGGCUGCAUCAGGGUUUCCCCCCAUUGUGCAAUAUUCCCCACUGCUGCCUCCCGUAGGAGUCUGGGCCGUGUCUCAGUCCCAGUGUGGCUGAUCAUCCUCUCAGACCAGCUAGGGAUCGUCGCCUAGGUGAGCCUUUACCGUCACCUACUAGCUAAUCCCACCUGGGCUUAUCCAUCAGCGCAAGGCCCGAAGGUCCCCUGCUUUCCCCCGUAGGGCGUAUGCGGUAUUAGCAGUCGUUUCCAACUGUUAUCCCCCACAACUGGGCAAAUUCCCAGGCAUUACUCACCCGUCCGCCGCUCGUCAUCUUCAAAGCAAGCUUUGAAUGUUACCGCUCGACUUGCAUGUGUUAGGCCUGCCGCCAGCGUUCAAUCUGAGCCAUAUCAAACUCUGA